GACGAACGCUGGCGGCGUGCUUAACACAUGCAAGUCGAACGGAAAGGCCCUGCUUUUGUGGGGUGCUCGAGUGGCGAACGGGUGAGUAACACGUGAGUAACCUGCCCUUGACUUUGGGAUAACUUCAGGAAACUGGGGCUAAUACCGGAUAGGAGCUCCUGCUGCAUGGUGGGGGUUGGAAAGUUUCGGCGGUUGGGGAUGGACUCGCGGCUUAUCAGCUUGUUGGUGGGGUAGUGGCUUACCAAGGCUUUGACGGGUAGCCGGCCUGAGAGGGUGACCGGCCACAUUGGGACUGAGAUACGGCCCAGACUCCUACGGGAGGCAGCAGUGGGGAAUAUUGCACAAUGGGCGGAAGCCUGAUGCAGCAACGCCGCGUGGGGGAUGACGGCCUUCGGGUUGUAAACCGCUUUCGCCUGUGACGAAGCGUGAGUGACGGUAAUGGGGAAAGAAGCACCGGCUAACUACGU
rnacentral:rRNA from 1 species